rnacentral:rRNA from 1 species
CAGCAGCCACGGUAAUACGUAGGUGGCAAGCGUUGUCCGGAAUUAUUGGGCGUAAAGCGCGCGCAGGCGGAUAGGUCAGUCUGUCUUAAAAGUUCGGGGCUUAACCCCGUGAUGAGAUGGAAACUGCCAAUCUAGAGUAUCGGAGAGGAAAGUGGAAUUCCUAGUGUAGCGGUGAAAUGCGUAGAUAUUAGGAAGAACACCAGUGGCGAAGGCGACUUUCUGGACGAAAACUGACGCUGAGGCGCGAAAGCCAGGGGAGCGAACGGGAUUAGAUACCCGCGUAGUCCCUGUCUCUUAUACA